rnacentral:lncRNA from 1 species
CGAAGUAAGCAAGCUUAAGUAGAGCAGUUCAGUUCGUCGCGUUCUGCCCCCACGCUCUCCGCACGAGACGGAAGGAGAAUCAAAUCGGAAGAUGGAUGGAUAGGUCGGGGCGCCCCUGCUCGUCCCUGCCGCCCCCUCACCCCUCGUCUCCUCUGNNNNNNNNNNNNNNNNNNNNNNNNNNNNNNNNNNNNNNNNNNNNNNNNNNNNNNNNNNNNNNNNNNNNNNNNNNNNNNNNNNNNNNNNNNNNNNNNNNNNNNNNNNNNNNNNNNNNNNNNNNNNNNNNNNNNNNNNNNNNNNNNNNNNNNNNNNNNNNNNNNNNNNNNNNNNNNNNNNNNNNNNNNNNNNNNNNNNNNNNNNNNNNNNNNNNNNNNNNNNNNNNNNNNNNNNNNNNNNNNNNNNNNNNNNNNNNNNNNNNNNNNNNNNNNNNNNNNNNNNNNNNNNNNNNNNNNNNNNNNNNNNNNNNNNNNNNNNNNNNNNNNNNNNNNNNNNNNNNNNNNNNNNNNNNNNNNNNNNNNNNNNNNNNNNNNNNNNNNNNNNNNNNNNNNNNNNNNNNNNNNNNNNNNNNNNNNNNNNNNNNNNNNNNNNNNNNNNNNNNNNNNNNNNNNNNNNNNNNNNNNNNNNNNNNNNNNNNNNNNNNNNNNNNNNNNNNNNNNNNNNNNNNNNNNNNNNNNNNNNNNNNNNNNNNNNNNNNNNNNNNNNNNNNNNNNNNNNNNNNNNNNNNNNNNNNNNNNNNNNNNNNNNNNNNNNNNNNNNNNNNNNNNNNNNNNNNNNNNNNNNNNNNNNNNNNNNNNNNNNNNNNNNNNNNNNNNNNNNNNNNNNNNNNNNNNNNNNNNNNNNNNNNNNNNNNNNNNNNNNNNNNNNNNNNNNNNNNNNNNNNNNNNNNNNNNNNNNNNNNNNNNNNNNNNNNNNNNNNNNNNNNNNNNNNNNNNNNNNNNNNNNNNNNNNNNNNNNNNNNNNNNNNNNNNNACGAUGAUGAAUAAUGGAUGACUUUACAUGCCGCCGCCGGCGCUCGCGGUGGCCGCCGGCGGGCUCCGCAGAGCCGCCGCGAGGGAGCGCCGCACGCGGUGGAGCGCCUCCCGGAGUUCCCGCUUCCACGACCACGCGGGCUCCUUAAGAGCCCGGAUGGAGUUGAGGCAGACCAGCAGCGUCCCGCCCUCGUGGAGGAGCACCUGCCAUGCCAUUCCAUUCCGGAGAAAGUACCCGCCACCAUUACCAUCACCGGAGGAGACGAGCAGAGGAGAAGAUAAGAGAAGAGAAGAGGGGAGGGCCUCUAAGCUAAUGGAAGGAGGAAGAGAAACGUACCGUCAACCAGAGAGGGAGGAAGCCGAGGACCGAAGGGAGCGCAGCCAGGAGGAUGCAGGAGAGGGCGAGCCCGACGCUCUGCUUCACCUGCGUUCAGCGGAGAAAGCGCAGAGCGGUAAAGUGAGGGAGGAAGAUGAUGGUGUGCGGGCCGUAGCCCUCUCCCGCGGCGAGGAACAGAAUGGCUUGUCCUACCAGUGAGGUGGUCUGCCUGGCCUUGGCCACGCAGAAUGGCACACCGGAGAUGUUGUCCUGGAGCAGCAGGACGUCCGCCACCGCCACGGCAGUGGCGCUCGCGCGCUGGGCCAGCACGAUGCCGACCGUCGCCGCCGCGAGCGCGGGUGCGUCGUUGAUGCCGUCGCCCACCAUGAUCAGACCGCCCCCUGCGCCACCAGAGAGGAACACCAGGCUGAGACAACUGUCAGGAGCAGUUUCGCUGACGACUCCUACAGCGAGCAAGAGCCCGCGCGCCUCCCCCCGCCAACGCCGGAGGGGCGGCGCGGCAUUAAUAAAGAAGGCGCUCCAACAUCGCUACUUUCAGAGAAGCCUGCGACAGAUCAAGCAAAUCAGAGCACAUCUUCAGCCUCGGGGAAUGGUGAAAACAGCGGGCUCAGACCUCCGACAAUGAAAAUAUUAGAGCCAUCCAUCAUCCCCCUUGCUCGGACUCGGGGCGUGCAGCUGGCAUUUCCAUAAAUUUUCCUUUCCGGGUGGGGAAUAACUCACAACCUUUCGCCGGUUCCAGGCGUCAUCUGCUACAUUCUUCAGUCCCCCAUGGCUACCCAGCAAACAAGGCUCCACCAGAUGAUGGUUCAUUCAUCCCAUUUCGAAUUAUCAUUCGACCAUUGGAUUAUUAGUCAUCCCACCAGAUGCGCAAAGAUGGGUAUAGAUUCAAAAAAACCCUCAGAACUAGGAGAAAAUUCUCACGCGUCGACCACCUCAGAAAGCAAGGAGUUGUGUAAAGAUGCUCGCCCGCGUGGAGCCUAGCACCCGGUUCGCUAAAAGAAUCUGCAGAGAAGAUUAUAGAGGACGACCACCAAAGGCUCGUCAUCAUCCCCCACCUCCAAACCCUAUUCCAGAUCUAGAUCAGCAUGGUGGACCGGACAUGAAAAAUGCCCCCCCCCUAGAAUUUAGUGCCAGUGAGUUUUCCUUUUCCGGGGCACAGAGAAAGGACCACAAAGAAUAUGACAAGUUUCUUCAUCGAUUAGAGUGGCACAGGAUCAUGAGCAAGUACUGAAAAAUAUACCGAUGCGGAAGUUCAAGAAAAGAUGGGGCUAAACUGAGAAGAUGCAUUCCAGUCACUGUCGAUUGUUACCUGUGUCUCUUGAGAUGCUCUUUAUCUGAUUCAGCUUAUCCCCAGGCUUCAAGUUGGAGUACACUUCUUCAAUGCCCGCCGCUUUUGCAACUCGCCGUGCACUUGAUUCGUGAUCGCCGGUUAGCAUCAUCACGCGGAGUUUUGAUUGCUCCCGUAGGGCAGAAACAACCUCGACAACGUCACUACGGGGUUCAUCCUCAAAAUGGAACAGCGUGACCUAAACGAAUUGACAACGUAGUCUCUUAGAAUUUAUUAGGAACGUGCGAAAUGAAUGCUUCUCAUAAGGGUUUUUUUAAAUUUUUUUUUACAUUUCCAUCUGCUCCGCUUUACUUGCAAGCUAGCAAGUCCAUUAAACAUGUUCUCCAAGAAAUAAAAAUAGUAGUAUGGUGCUAGUAAUCUACUCUUCGAAAAACAAUAAAGUGUUCAUGCAGGAGGGCCUUCCUGUUAAUGCGCAACUCAGAUUAAAUUCAAAGGGAAGAAUCACGUAACAACACAAGCAAAAUUGUAGACUGCAUGAACACGAAAUAUAAUUUAGUACGGGGUGGGCUUGUUUCAACCACUAAUAUCUCACAUUUUCCCGCUUCUAUGAAUCAGAAGAAAAAAAUCAAGGUUUGAAUGCAUGCAAUUGUCAUUUUGUGGAAGAAACAAGAAUUACAUGCAACUGCAUAAAAUUAACAUAUUAUGAACACAACUCUGUUCAGUUGAUGAACCAAAUAACGGCAGUGAAAAUAUAGACUAUAGCUCCAACCCUAUGUCUUAGCAAUAAAUAAGGCAGUUGCAUCCGUUUUCGCUUUUGGUAUGAUAAACGAUGAAUAGCUUGGUAGAAGAUCCGAAGGCGCCAGAAAUUGAUAAAAUGUCCAUAAAUAAAGCUUUAUCCAUAGGGGUGGCAAACCUUUUGGUCAAUAGACAAGGCCGCUUGAACAAAAUUACUGCCAUAUGCAGACGUUCUUGCUGCUUCCUUAAUCUUCUCAGCAUCGGCCACAGAUUUACACAGAGAGGCGAUGUAAUCAACAGAACCGAUUGUUGCUUUCAAAUACUCACUCUCUUCAGAUCCAGACUGAGACAAAACAACAAUAUGAUCACAUGUUACAAGAAAUUAAAAUUCUAAACAGAAGAGACUGAGGUUUAAGCCACUUUCACAUAUAUAUGAUCGAUUAACAAAAUGCGAAUCAUAAGCACAUUAUCGUUGACUAAUCUUGACGAAGAUAAUAGGAGAAAAAAGUAUUCACAAGGAACAAUCUAGUUAAUGAAAAGGAAAAAAAAGAAAGAAAAUAGACUCCAAAUUAAUCCUGAAUGAAUGUGCAGGAAUCAUGCAGUCACAAUUAAUUAAUUAAUGGACUAUUUUUUAUCUCACAAGUACGAGAGAAGAAUGAUAAUAGACGUGUCUUCAAAAAAAUAAUGCCAAUCUAAAUAUCUUUGAAGAAAGAAUCUAAAAUCCAUUGGUAAAUUUAACGGAUUUGAUGGUGUAAGCAGAAACCUAACAGAUCCAUUCAUCUUCUUGCUUUAAUAAACUUAUAUCCUCCUUAAGGUAGCUGAAGCUAGGUUCAUCUACAAGAAAUUGUUGAGAUGAGGCUUACAUUUAUAGAGUUGUUUUCUGUUCUGGUUGAGUUUGAAACGAUGUUCAAAUGUUAUAAAUCUUAAUUUUCGUAAGCCAAAAAUGUUUAUGAGCUUAUAUGAUGCAAAAAGUAAACAAAGUAAUAAGGUACCUGAGUUAUAACAUGUACGAGCCAACAUUGAGGACUGAGUCAAUACUAUGUAUAAAAAACAAAGAACAAAGAGCUUUGGUGUUGCCACCCAUCAGUAGAGCCUCUAAAAUUGCGUUGGAGCAAUGGCUCAAUCAAGAAAUGUCCACACCUAGAAAUCUGAUAUAUCGUUAUAACUUCAGUUUUUAGUGAACCAUGCUAAUCUCGCUUGAAGGAAAGUACAUGUUGGCAACCAAAGGCAAGAGGCAGUCCCGUGAAGGCCGUGGUUAAUUAAUCGGAUGCCAAUUUCAAGGGAUAUAAACGAUAGGGGAAAAUGUAUCUAUGGUGAUUGAUUUUUGAAAUAGGACGAACAAUGAGGGGAAUUGAUCCGAACUCAUUUUUCAGGGAAAAUGGACUGUUGCCUACCCAUUUUCUGCUUUCCGGAUGGAGGACAACUUAAAUUCUCUUUAUAGAAGAAAAGUACGUGUACAAGCUUUGACAGAAAAAUUUUGGACUUAGUGGAAUUGCCCCCUGAAAAUCAGAAGAAAAGUACGUGUAUAAACUUUGACCAAAAAAUCUUGGAAUUUCUGGAAUUGUCCCCUCAAAAUCAGAAGAAAAGUAUGUGUACAAACUUUGACAGAAAAAAAUUGGACUUGCUGGAAUCGCCCCCACUCAAAAUCAGGUCAGGAGUUCCCUAGGUUAAAAUUGACUGGUAUUCAGAAAUCAUGCUCCUAACCAAUUCGCUUCUUUGUUCAUCUGCCCAAGAGGUUCUUCAUACUUGUACCGUAAAAACUUUCUUGUGAAUAUAAUUUUGCAUCCAAGUAAUAGUUAACCAGUGUAGCAGAGAUAGGGGAUAGUUCUCCAAUUUCUGCCACCUGGUAUUAGCUGGGUUUUUCUGAAGAACAAAAAGAGAGCUUCAAACUCACAGCCACACUUAGCGCCUAAAGCUAAUCAAGGAUGACUACAACGUAGGUCUGGAUAUGAUGAUAGAGGUGUUUUUAGCCACUUUCCACGUUCUGAAACUGACAAUAAUAAUAUGGGGAAAUACAGAAGUAACCAGGGUUAUGAUAAAUUUUUUCUUCACCUUCUUUUCCUCAAUUGGAUGUCAGACCAUAUGUCAAAUAGCAUUCUAUUUCUGGUUUUAAAUGCUUAAAAAAUAUGGACAACAAUAGAACUGAAUAAAAACAGCACGAGAAAGUGUGACAUAAGGUCAACUUAAAUCAUAUGAGGAUGUCUUUCAUAAAAAGUGCCACCUGCUACCAAAUUAUCUCUCAUCACAAACUAUGGACUAUCGACUUCCUUCCCUUGACCAGGUUUGAAUCAGACCAUCUUAAAUCACAAAAAGUCGUCUUCAAGUUAACAUGACAACACUUAGCAAACAUCUCCUGAUAUACAACAUAACCUAUCCGCUGCCUAAUGUUUACAAUAUUCUUCCCUUGACCAGAAGGAAUUAUCCUUUUGUCUAAGGUAACUUUUGUCAUUAUGUUUUGUCAAUUUAUGUAAUUUACCCUUAAAUGAUUAUAACCAAGCAGCUAGGUGUUAUUAGCUUACGAUCCCUUCAGACAUCAUUCCAAUCCAUGAAAAUAGGACACUAAACUUUAAGAACCUCUGAAGGAUAGCAAUAAGAUUUCAGUGAAUCGUUUUGACUGUACCGAGUACAACUGUGGUUAGUACUCUACCUGAAAAAAAACUAAUGCUAUCCUUCAGUAAAUUCAAGAAAGACGGUGGAUAAAACAUACAGUCAAUUGCAGACCGAAUUUCAAAAAAGAUGCAAAUGAGUAAUAUGCAGGAAACAUGCCGAGGAGCAUAUUACCUUCGUACACGUCAAGGUAGCAAAAAGACCUCGGCCCGGAAGACAUUCAAAACUUUCGAGUGAGACUCUUGGAAGAUCUUUUCCAAGACUGUGGGCAACAACGGCUCUGCAAUGUUCAGAAGAAUGAGCAAAUUGGUGAUCUCGAAUAAGUCAGUACAUUGUACAGGCACUGAUAGUCAAAGGUUUCACGAAGAAAAGAGGAUCCCGUCUAUGAAGAGCUAGUCAAUGAAAAAUUCUAGACAGGCCAUAUCAAAUUCCAUUUUUCUUGCUACUUACUAUCAGAAUCAAGAAACUAAAAUAUGCAACGUCGAUUGAAGCAACGAAAAACGAAUACAGAAAAAGAAAACCCAUAAUUUUGCAAAAUAAAAUGAAGACAAGUGAUGACGAUAUAACCAACUGUACAUACCACAGAUACCUAAUACUAAUACAGAAACUUCAAAUGUAGCUCAAUUGGAAAAUCAGUUUUGGAAAUAUGAAUUUAGAGAGGCUAAAUAAAUGCAAUGGAUAAGGAUCACUAUCAUAGGCAGAGAUAUCGAUGGGCCAUCUUGGAACAUAGCUUUCAGCACCAGACUAGCAGAAGAAGUGCCAUCUAGUUUCAGAUAUGUAAGCCCAAGUUGGCAAACACAAACACAAUUAUAGUGCGUCAAUUAGCUUUCUAGAAAAGACAUCAGAUUUUGCAGAAAUUAACACAUUGUAUUUAUGAAACCAACUUCCAGAUUUAUGACAGAAAUAGCAUCAUGAAACAAACAACCUGAAAAAAGAAAAUGAUUAACGAGUUUCAGAUCAGUGUAAAGUUCCUCUAUCAAUAAACUGUAUUGCGGCCGUUUAGUCCUUCCAUCAUCACUAUCUGGCUUCACAUAAUGACACUAUUUUCUAGACUGACCCUUCUCUCCGUUUCACAUGGGGGGAGGGAGAGGGUUUUCAGCUGGUAAUAUAAUGAAAAAAGUUAAGAAGUACUAUCUAAAAAUUAAAAUCUGAGUCAGUGGAAUUGUUUUUUCAAGUGAUAAUACUUAACUUCUUGUCGAAACUAGCAUUCAUAAAAAAGAAAGUUGCAUUAAAUUUUCACCUUCCAAUAGGGUGGGUAGUUCCCUUCUCCAUUGCUGCAGCCACAGCAAGAGCUUCCUUCUCACAGUCGGGAGUACAGCAUGAAGAAUCUUUAAAGCCUUGCCAUCCUGCUGAAUGACCGUGAAUUGGUUCAAUUGCUUUGCACCUAAGUUUCCCCGUAGUCAGAGUGCCUGUUUUGUCAAACGCAACUGUGUGGCAUGAUGCUAGAGAAUCCAAAACAUGCCCACCCUUCAACAAUAUGCCCUGCAUAUAAAAGAGUAAAUCUUAAAUCGAUGCACAGACAAUUAAUCAAAACUGAGAUUCAGUGGAAAAUGCAAUAUGAUAACAUGGGCAUUUAGUUGUAUCUUUCUUCUAAAUACAGGAGCCUGCCUAGUUGUUCACAAAUAGAUAAACAAAUUAACACAACUAUCUCCCCAAAAGCAAAAAUAUCACUCAUGAACUUCAUUCUGCCAAUUACACAAGGUUCUGGGAAAAGUGUGUUCUGUGCCAAAGGGAACGUUUUUUCUAUAAUCUACAAGGUAACAGUCGCAUGACACAAACAUCUGAGUAUAAAACUUUCCCAAAUUUAGUGGGCAAUUUACUUUGCAUUAUGCAAAAAUCCCGUGAAAAUCAUAUCCGGGGCCAUAGACUGCAUAAACAGCAAAAUAGAUGAAUAGACAGUUCAUGUUUCCGGGUUUGACUGAGGCUACAUGCCAUAAAUUGGAGGAGAAAGCAGCACAGAAUCAGGACAGAGAAUGAAACCUUAGCAACUGUUGACGAUGGCGUCUAGUUGUCAAAUCGGAGACAACUAAUCAUUUAGGACACCAACCUAAAAUGAUUCUGGGGCUCAAGGUAAUGCACCUUUUUAGUAGGAUAAGCUUGUUAUGGAUAACUAAAAAAUCAUGGUAAAUUCAUGGUUUGAGCAUAAAAGUCUCCCACCCAAACCAAGGCUUCAAUACCAAUCUCAUUCGAGAUACAGACACAGGUUAGAGUUUAGUCUGCCUAAAUUUGGUUAAUUCAUGUCAUCAAACUUAACUCAAACAACCCAUGUCAAGACAAUCUGGAUAUUACGCUCAUAUCAUAUACCACUAACUGGAUAUUAGGACCCUAACUUCCAAACUAUCUGUUACCUCUCAGCGCAGGUUUGAAGUCUUUAAUGGAAUUAGGAAGCUGCUGAAGUUGACCCUUUAGUAAAUGUGUCAAGAAAUAUUGCAGACAACACACAUCAACCUACAUGUUACCGACAUGAUUGAAUCAUGUCUUGAACGAGCACAAGGUCAAGAAUGCAUUGCCUUAUUUUAAAAGGUAUUGUAUAUAAGUGAUCAAUGACAAGAAGGACUUUACAUUUUCCAUAUAAAUGCACCUAUUAACCAACACCACAAAUUAUCUGAUGUGAAAAGAUAAAACCAAUUUCAUAAAACUUAGGGCAUCUAGAGUUGCCACUUUAAUCUAUCUUGCAGCAGACACUACUGUUUGAAGUUUGCUAGUCAUUGUCUAAAAAGGUAAGGAUCCUGGUGGUUACUAAUAAAGAACCAUAGAUUAGCACAAAACUUUAGACAUCAACAAUGUCACGAUGAUCAGUUGGAUGAUGAAAAUUUUCAUCUUUCGGAAGGAGAAGAUCUGAAUUUCUUGAGCACCAACCAUGGCUUGUUUUGGUGGGUCUCUCAAUAUUAGACUUUAUAAUGCUUAAUAUUACAUUCAAAUUUGUAGAAACUUUAUUUCUACGUAGAAGCAUGAUUCUCAAAAAGAAAUUAAAAUUAACAAGGAACAUAUAAAAAAUACGAGGAAAAAAGCUAAUAAGAUUAUCAAGAUGCAUUGAUGCAUUAAUAUUUGGAUAAACGUGAGAGGGAAAAAUGUUUAAAUAGCAUCUUAAAGAGAAUUAUUACCCAGCAGAAAGAAGAAAAACUCGAUGUUGGAAGAAAAUUUAUGUUAUAAUUCCCUUGAUUUUAUUUUUUUAUUGUGGUAAUACCUUACUAGCACAGGAACUGAUAGCAGUUGCAUAUGCUAAUGGAGCAACAGCUAGCGCACAAGGUGAUGCUGCCACCAUAAGCCCCAACGCUCGGUAAAUGGAACCUCUAUUAACUGCAGCAUGAGAUGUUGAUGUUCAAUACCAAAACAAAAAUGGAAAACUUUCAAAACAUUUGUGAAAUCUAUGCAUAAAAAACUUCUUGCUUUAAGAACCUUCAAAUAUUGCUUAUAUUCUUUUCCACAAGAAUUCUCAUAGAAGUCUCUUUUCAGAAUCUUCAUAGCAGUCUUUCAUGAAUUCCUUUCCAUGCAAAAAUAAUAACCCUUUUCAUGAUUGCUGCAAAGGCACGUUUUGCCUAACUGCUCUAAAUUUCAGACAAGAAGCCUAGCAAGUUUAUAGGUGAGACACCCUACAACCGUAAUCCCAGCAGUGUAGUAAUGUGAUGAUGAAGGAUCAAGGAACUCCCACGUUAUAUAUUAUCCUCUGUCUUUAUGAUUCAUGCUCAGACAAUGAUUAAACAUGUAGCCCAUAUCAACCUCAUGUAGGAUAGCAUGUAGCUCAUAUCAAAUAGACCUUAAAAUGUUAGAGAAUAUAUCAACAUAACGUAAGAAAGAUAAAAGACUGACAGUGACCACAACAUAGUUCGUACAAUUUCAUAAGCAUGAUUCUGGAUUCGUCUGUUUCACAAGAAUAGCUUUCAUGGUGUACCUGAUGAUCCAAUAAAUGGCCACUUGAAAAGAAACGGACCAAGAACUGCAACCGCGAGUGAUAGAGCCAUAACUACUUUACUAUAAUGUUCACCAAAUUCAUCCAGCCAUCUUUGCAGUCUGGGCUUAUUCAGCUGUCCUUCUUCAGUCAACUGCAUAAUCUUGUUCAAUGUUGAAUCCUUCCAUGCCUUGGUUGCCUAAAGCAAGACAAGUUAGCUGGGGAUCAAUCAUUAUGAAGUGAACAACCAACAGCCUAUCAAAAGUCAUUAUAACAACUUGACUAGCGAGAGAGUCAAGAAGAUUUUCCAUGAAUAAGGCAUUCUUCACUUAUUGAAAGAAUUUAAUCAUUAUCAUAGCAAGAAAUCAUCAACUAUCCAUCAAAAGUUCAUUAGAGUACCACUUUUUAGAUAAGAAAGAAGCAAAUGCAUAAGCAACAGAUUGACAAAAAAUGAGGCAGAAUGUGCAAAUAAUUGUGUAAUAUAACGUGGUACUAAAUUGUACCUUGACAACCAUCAUUCCUUCCAAGUUCCUUGCACCACCAGGGAUUCUGUCCCCAACUUUCCUUUCCAAGGGUUUUGCCUCUCCUGUAAGAUGCUCAAUGGUGACUGUUGAAGCACCUUGAUAGACUUCAACAUCCACUGGCACAGCCUAGAAAAGCACAUAUACCUCAAAAUUAUAUUCGAUUAGUGAAACUAAAGCGGAAGACUAGUGAAAUGGAGACGCAAUAACAGUUUUGUUUAACUAACUGUAGUUAGCACGUUCUUUGAAAACACUUAUUUAAUUCGUAUUCUGAUUCUGAAACAGAGUUUACAACCUGAGCCGAUGGCAUCAACAGCAAUGAGGAUUUGUCAUGAUCAGAUUAAAAUCCAGUUUCUCCCUAUGAAGUAUCAAGAAUGAGAAUGCAUUAGUUGUCCAUGCUCAAGUAAUAAUCCAUUUGACUUCAGCACACAAGUGAGUAUACUACCACCACCUUCAAAUGAAGAUGUAAGUGAAAAUACCUAGGCUCAAAUGUCCAGACACAGCUGAUUAGUUAUACAAUUACUUUUCCUUCAGCAUAUUGUUCACAUAUUUUUUAAGAGCUGAUUAGCAAGACAAUCUGUAGAGAUAAUCUUCAUGAAUCCUCUACCAUAAAAAUGGCUGCCAGAUCCAAAGUCAAUCUAGCUAAUGUGUGGAGUUCAGCUUGUAAAAUACUAUGAUUUUCGAAGUCAAAAAGAAAUGCAGAGUUUUAGCCAUGAUGUCCACUCUGCCAAUUGUACUCGUGAGUUUCCAAUAAAAAAUGACAGGUACAGACUAGCAUAAAUCAAUAAAAUGCGGUUGUCAUAGAAUAACUUAUUACAAUGCAAAAAGACAUAAACGUAUGUAAACCAGCGAGAUAAAACUCCAAGAACUGACCUCACCAGCUCUGACAAGGAGAUAAGAACCCACUUCAAUAUCAUACACGGGAACCUUUUUGUACUUCAUGUCUGAAAAAUGAGGCUGCUCCUCUCCAUUCGUUUCUAACACCAGAGCAAAUUCAGGAUGAUUCUCUUUGAGCUCCUUCACAUCAAUCAUGGACCGGCUGGUAAAAUACUCUUCCGCUGCAAGCAGCUCAUGAAAUAAAUGCAUCACCCACAGAAGCACUAGGUAUAUACAUCUGCACGUAUGCUCUGGAUUCGAAAUCUAGAGAUCCUUACCAAUAUGGGCCAAAUUAAACAUCGCAAGGAGCAAACCACCCUCCAAUGCAUUCCCCAUGAGCAAUGAUGCGAAGGCUGCCAGAGCCAUAAGCACGUGGAUGUUCACUCUUCCAGCAGCGAUAUCAAGAACGGAGUCAUGAGCCGAGGAAAUCUGAAGCAUAGUCGCCAAAACCCAGGGUUAACAGAUGAACAUCCAACGGUCCAUCAGACUAAUUGCAUAAUGAAAAAAUGAAAUCCGGAAGAAAACACGUAGUCCGCGUACCCCGACCAAAGGGAAGGCAAGGAGCGAAGUGACAUCCUGGAAAGGCUUCACAGCUGGCGCAGGGAGGACGUAGGGGGAAAUAGCCGCCGCGAGGAGCAGUGCCAUGGCGCAGAAGCAGAGUUGCAGAUUCUCCCGGAGAAAGUCUGCCAACUGGGCCCACCCUACUGCCGUGGAGAAUCGCAGUACAGCCUGCUGGGCCGCAGUCAGCUCCCCACCCCCUCCAUGGUGGUGGUGAUGGUGGUGGUGGUGGUGGUGGUGGUGGUGGUCACUACCGUGGCCACCAUGACUGUGAUUUUGGCUAUGUCCAUGAGCACGGACGGAGUGGUUACCAUGGCUGUGCUCAUGCGCAUGGCCGGCAUGGUCACCAUGGCUGUUUUCAUGUCCAUUGCCGGCAGCGUGGUCAUCGUGGCUAUGUUCACACGCAUGGCCGCCGUGGUCACCAUGGCCACCAUGGUCACCAUGGGUAUGACUUAGCCCGUGGCCGUGGGCAUGGCCAUUCAGUGCCCGGCAGCGGGCAGAGAUCUCGCAUUGGAGGAACCAGGGAUAGGAGGGACGAGAGGAUCCGACGCUGCUCCUUCUCCACGCCUCGCCAAUUAACAACAAACGAGAACAAGGAAGCUGAAGCCGCCGUUUCUGGGGGCGCAGCUGCUGCGGGGCGGCGGGGAGACGAAAGGAUGAACAGCCGGCGAUUCCGCCGGCGGUCCUUAUGCUCCGAGGACCGAGUACGCCCAGGCCGGACCCUCCACCUGCGGCGAGAAAUCGAUUGGCCUCCAUAUGCCACCGGGAUCUCGCUCAGGGGGAGGGAAGAAAUUUUCUUCUUCUUCUUCUUCUUCUAGUAUUCAAUCAUCGCGACUGCCGCCGGUGGGGCCUCAGUGGAAUUGCAGGCCGUGGAUGUCGUGAAAUGAGUUCAUUAUGAAGGCCACAGCCCACACUUGUAAAACACCAUGAGCUCAUCCUCACGUUAUAGAAGCGGUUCGGUACGCCGGCGGAACAAUGUUGUGGCUUAUCCCUGCGGCAGCCCCCCAAUUUCCCGCGGCACCAAACUUCGCUCACAGCGGGCCCCGACUUUGUAACGGGCCCCGACAGCCCGAAAUGCCCAUUUCUCCUCGCACCGAGUGAGGUGAUGUGCCGUGCCUUACCUGUCUCGACUCUCGAGCCCUUGUCGAACGGGCCUCUCUGGCCCGCGCCCACCAGAAACCAGAUCUAGCCCGGCCCGUCGAGCAUAACAUACGGUGACGGAAAAAAUACCCCGCGAGAGGAACCAGAACAGGGGCUUGCAACUAACGGCGGCCGUCAGAGGCCGUUAAAGGGCGGUUGCGUUUCGUCUCCCUUCCCUCUCUCUCUGGUUUGACCUCGCGACUGGGGCUGUCUUGCUCUUUUCUACCAGAGCAAAGAGAAACAGAGGUGAAGGGAGCCGCUCUGUCGGACUUCGGGGCGCGUAGACCCUUGGGGAACGGAAGCCAAGGGGGACGUUGUAGCCCCACUGAGAUGGGGAGCUCCAAUGAGACGGGGGGGGAUGGGGAAGGAGUGCCUGUCAAGGCUGAGAGUCCUGCUGACGGAGGGGAGAGCGAUGUCGCUGCAGCUUCUCCCGGGGAUCCGUCCGCUGGAUCGGAGUCCCCGCCUGGUCAAGCUGAUUACGAAGAAGGGGAGAAGGUUCUUGCGUUUCAUGGCCCCCGUAUCUAUGAGUCCAAGGUCAGUAUCUCCCGAUUCCGGAACUUGCAGCUAGGGCUUUGUAGCCCGCUACUUCUCUCUCCGUCAUUUCCGUACAUGCUGCUGGUGGAUGGAUCGCGGAAAUAACGGGGUUUCUGACGGUUUUGUGAUCGUCAAAAUACGAAUUGCCGACUUAUCGAGAAAGUGUUCUUGAUGACUGGAUUAUUAUCAAGUAUUCUUGGAGUCUUAGUCAGCGAAAGUUUUCCUAUUCAAAAAUAGAUCAAAAAAUGUUUUAACGUGAAUCUCUUUUUGUGGUAAAAUUUUUUUCAAUGUCUGUUUCAUCUCGAACGAGGUUUUCUAACGGGCAUUAACAUCUCUCUUGUGUCUAGGAGGUAUUGCUUGAUGAAAGUUUCUCUCUGACGUGUAGAUGUGUUUCGAUUUGGGUCGAUAUCUCAUUGGGAAGGUAGAAUUUUCUACAGAUCUUACUUCUGAUUUUCCCACACCUCCCCCCAAAAACAUUGAGGAAAAAAUGUGCAAUCGAAGUUGGGCGGAUUGAAGUGGGAGAACGAUGUGAGAAAUGCUGUACCCUAAAUAUCAUUCUGUUAACUGGGAAAAAGAAUGGUUAAAGGAGAUGCUUAGGUAUCAUGUAUCAAAGCAAAGUUUUAAACGUACUCAUCAAAAUGAGAAUGGAUUAUAUGAGUGGGGAAAAUAAUGCUUUAGACGUUCAAAUAAUUCUUAAAGCAUGGAGUCCCUGUACCAUUCAUAAGCAGGGUUUCAAAUACCGAGGGAUAGACCCCUUGACAAGUAUUAAGAAAUGUGGUUUUAUGUACCAGAUGGGGGUUGGGGGCGUUGGUUCAUAUCGAGCCUUUGCAAAGAUUCUGUGAAGAUUUUCUUUCUAUAGCAGAGAAAACCUCUCGACUGUUUUGCUGAUGUAAGCAUUUGGAAUCACCAUCAUCGAAUUACCACAGCUGGAUGGAGUAGUAUGGGCCAGAGAAAGCUUGGAAGAAACUGACGUGAUGGUUACAAAUGAAUAAAAAUCCAAGGGAAAAAUGCCUUACCAAAUUAGCACGAGAGUGGACGUAAGAUGCCACUGAAUGAGGAUUGUGGUCUCAAAACCCUAAAUUCAGAAGAUGUAAAUUGAAAAUCUGUGAUAGGCUGUUUCUUCUGAAUGCGAUACUGUUAUUUCAUUGGAGGUGCAAGGCGGAACGGAAAAUUAUGCAGAGAGGUGAGAAAAACUAGUGAUCUAAUUUUCAAGCAUUUUUUGUUGAUUGUGUACAUGUGCCAUAAUAAAAUGUGUAUUUGGCUGAUUUUUCCUAAAUGUAAAGCCCUUCACUUGAUGGAAAGGCGGGUGACAGGAACCAGGAGUGAUGGAAUAUCUCAUAGCUGUUUUUUUGCUGUCAGUUUUUAUUCCCCGCGUUCAACUUAAGCUAAAUUGAAGUAUCUGUCUGGGUGAACCGCCCCUUACUCUUAGUUUCUAGCGUGUGGAUGGUAGGGCCCCUUCAUCACACGCAAUACUCUUUUUAACGUCUCAUCUACUUUUAGAUCCGAAAAUGGAGAAACAGUGGGUCGAUUUUUUGCCAGAAAAAGAUGAUCUUUCUUUGUGGAUGCAAUGAAUUUCAAGGACAUUUCGUGAGAAGUCCGUAGAUAGCAAUAAGAAGUAUCAAUAGAGAGGAUGACCUGCCAGCAAAGGAUCAACAACUUUGAAUUCUCUCAUGUUGUGAAGAGGCGAUAAACUCUAUCCUUUCUGAGAAGUGGCUAUGAGGAGACGUUUCACUAGUGAUGGGACUAUGACACCCGACAGGUCUACCAGAAAAUAUGAUUGUGCUUUAACAAAUUUGAUGUCAUUCUUGUUGACUGGAGUUAAUGCAAAAUAUACAAGGAUAAACAGCUGAAAAAAAUCUCUUCUACGACAUAAAUCAUGGAAUCGUUGCUAAUUAUAUGCAGUUUCCCGCCAUAAAAAAAGGAAACUAACUAGGCUAAGGAAAACGACUGACUAGGAAACUGGGCAACAUAAAUUAACUCUUGAUUAUUCUUUUUACCCUGGUCAUUGGUGCAACUUUUGUAAUCGCACUAAAAAAUUGGAUUUGAAUUGAAACAAAUUCAAUCAUGUUCGUAUAAGAAUGAAGUGAUGGAGGGCAUUCUUAAGAUCUUAAAGAAACAUGGUGGCACUCGUCAACUAUUAUGUGUCCCAUCUGGUGGAGGAGAAAUAAGAGAGUUUGACGAGGCAUUCAGAAACAGUUUUCUUAUCAUUACAGAAUAUAUUCAGGAACUAUUUUGGAUGCUGAUGUUGCCCUAGUUAACUGGUGGAAGUCAGUCUGAAUCUAGAAAAAGAAUGUUGGAAGUUGUUACUUCCUGCUAUUUUGUGUACCAUUUAGAGUGAGAAAUGAAAUAUUUGAAGCAUGGGACUUGAGAUCAGAGUUACUCAAGCCGUCUCGAGUUGGUGAGAUUCUAAUACCGAGUUGAAUACUUCAAAAUCAUUUCAAAAUUAGGCUUAAUUGGUUUAUAUAUGGGCUAAAUUUGUCUGAAUCAGUGAUUCAGAGAAAUUGGUUCCUAUAGCAUGCAUGUGUCCAGGACUAGGCAUUUUGGGUGCAAGAUGCCUUUAUAAGUUUCAUGGUUUGUAUAAAUGGCCCCAGUUAGCAUAUAGUUGUGAAGCAUACUCAAUAAAAAAUGUGAUUAAAAUAAAAUCCGAAUUGGGGCUGUUCCCCUGCUUUAGUCAAUCUGGCUGUUCUAAUCACUAUCCCAGGUUCCUACCUUGCUCGUGGGCUUCUGGAAGAUUGCUCCUUGUAAUUUGUUGAAUACAUAUAUCACUUAUGGGAGAUCAAGAAUAGAUAAAGUGAACACAUUUUCAUCCAGAUGAUGAGAGGACAAACUUUACUGUUUGUGUUAGAUUGCCUAGAUCUAAUGAUUUACACAUUAUUCUUCUAUGCAUCAUCUUCGUUGAUCAGAAUAGUAUUCCCUGCUUUUAUUUGGCUUGCAUUUCUCUCUAAUGAGAGCUAUGAGUGGUAAUGCUGUCUCUGUUUGCUGUCUGUCAGGUCCAGGUAAGUAUUCUCUGCAGCUUAGAGAAUAAGCUACUUCCUUAGCUUUGUUUACUAAUAAAUUAUUGAUUUUACCGCUCUCAAGAAAGCAAAAGUUCAUUUAUUGUCGUCAAUAAUCACUUGCCAUGAAACACAAAGCUUAUCGAUCUUGCAGAAAUGCAAUCUCGACACGUUUUCAACUCAUACAUUGAAUAAUGUUAGAUGAUUUUUUCCUUGUGUUUGAUUCACUGUUAAAACUCACCAUAAGAGUCUAGUAUGUCCUUUUGUUAUUCUUCUUGUUUGCAUGUUAUGUUAUCUUUUUUGACCUGUUCCCUGGUUUGAUAGUUUAAAAUCGCUCCUUUCCAUGUUUAAUUUUUCUUUUAUGGUGUUUGUCUUGCUGAUUCCAAUCUUCUUUUCUAAGGUUCAAAAAGUUGAAUACCGGGAGAAUGAAUGGAAAUACUAUGUCCAUUAUCUCGUGAGUUAUUUACCAACUUUCUACUCUGUACAUGCCUUUGAAUUCACCUUCGUUGAACCUUUAUUUGCUUAAAGAAUUAUACUGCCGUUGUUUGGUUCACUUGUACUGUUACAUUUCUGAUCUUUGCUAAUUACUCAGUAUUCUUUUUGCAGGGUUGGAACAAAAGGUAUGUGCUACCUACCUACAAUUCUUCAGAGUUAUCAUUGACACCAUUUUGACUUAUGGGUACUUUGUACUUUCCUUUUAACAUAGCAAGUACCACGAUUAAGUAAUGAUGAAAACUUAGGGAGUACAAGUAUUUUAAUACCAUCUACACAGAACCCUGUACAAAAUCCGUUCCCAGCGGAUGUGUCCCGAUUUGAGCUGACUAACAGAUGACAUCCUUGGGGCCUAUUUAAUCUCUUUGCAGAUGAAAGUUCAGCUUGUUAAAUUACGGUAUUGGCUUCUUUGAGAACCUUUUUCUUUUCGUAGACAGAACGAUGUAACAUCAUUCUUUGAUACACUUAAUGGGCUCCUGACUCUAAUGAUCCAACUUAGGAUCUGUCUUCACAAGUUUUGCAUAAAAUCAUUUCUUCAUCCACACACUGAAAAGGAGAGGAAGGGAAAUAUAAGAACCUUGCCUAGAAAAUUGAGGUUGUCUGGAGCAGGUAAAACGAUCAAUAUUGUGGGCAUCCGAAAUGAACCCAAGGUUAUUUAUGGCUGAGAAUGUCUUACAUUUGAUGACAGCUGUCAUUUUGAUAUCAUUAAUAGGGCAACAUAAGCACACUUCACCAAAGUUGUGCAAUAGCACACUCCACAAUAAUGAAGGUUUCAUACACAUUCUGCAAAAUAUCACUUUUUAAAAAGAUAUUAUUCAUAUGCGUAUUGGUAGUCUCUCUCUGAACUGCUUCAAUUGAAAUGAAUGUUCAGGCUCUGCCCAUCUUCGAAAUCGAGGCGAAAUUUUCAUUUAUCACUGUGAUACCAUUUGGAUUGUGUUUUGCUGGUUGCUAGUACGACAGUCUCAAUAUGGAUUUUGAAGAGUAAAAUCUCAGGGUCAAAUGCUUCUUAGUCAGAUUGAGCUGUAGGUGUAAAUAAUGGAGGUAAGUGUGUAGAAGUGGGAUCUAUCUUCUAUAAUCACUUUGAUAAAUAAAAUAUGCAUUACGCUACAAAAGUUGUAGAUUUACCAAUGAUAGAGGGGAUAAUUCCAUCACUUGCAAGUGAAGGAUGAAUAUAAAAAUUUCAUGAAGGAAAUGUAUACUCUUAGUAGACUAAAAGAGUAUAGAGGAAGGUGCUACUAGAUCACAGCAUUAGCAGCUCUUUGGCCAUCAUAAUUUUGCAGAUAGCAUACCAUUUAUCAGAGCUGUGAGUGUUAAGAAUGGUGCCAUAUUGGCUAUAGUAAAAGAAAAUCUGUGAUCAAAAUGAUUGCUCAUUUUAGGAUAACUAAUUCCGAGUUAGAUGACAUGAGUUUAAUGAGAUAUAGAUCCAAUGGCUGUUAGUUUAAUACAUACUGUCGUUGUGAAUAAGCUCAAAUUUCAGCUUGCAGAGGAGGGGAGAUGUUAUAAUUUGAUACUAGAAAAUAAAUCCGUGAUUGGAAAUUAUAUUUACUCUGCUUAUAGGCAAUUAAUUUUGGGUUUGAUGCCUCAAAAACAUAAAUUGUUCUCAUUGACAACUAUUCAGUUGUCUAACUAAAUAAUUUUGGAGCUGGGUGAUUUCGUCGAAAUUUGAGCUGCUGACCAGAUGCCUCUAACUGUCAAUAAUCACCCUUCAAACAUGAGAAGCCUUACUUCGUUAUAUCCCAUGUAAUGUUCGAGAGCCCCUCAAUGUUUUUCGUUAAAUCUGUCUUGAUAAACAGAUAGAAGAAAAAUAACAAGAGAAUUCCCUGCAAGAAAUAAGGGUUGGCCAGUCCCCUUUUCCUUUGGAAUAAUUUAGUAUUUUAUUUAGAAACUCUGAAUGAAAUCCUAGUGCUAACGCUACACCGAUUAGAUUCAUGGAAGUUUUCUAGGUAGCAUAGUAGAUACGCAGUAUAGUCUUCAAUGUGCAAUGACAGUCUUCAUGCGCAGUUGAUGGGGAACUGCUGUACGGCUGCCUGGCGAUGCAGCAGCCCAUUGUUGAUGGGCAUAACUGAAGAAUUACUAGCUCCUUCUCAAGCUAUUUUCAUCAUAUUUCCCUAGAUUCUUCUUUAUUUAUUCCAACUGUUCCCUCCUUAAGGCAGCACAUCUUUUAACAGCAAUUCUUUCUCUUUCAGGCUAUGGAAUCAUUUGUGGUUAAAACUUGCUUUACUGUUGGUUUAAUGUUACGAAUCCCUGUGACAUUUGUGAAAUAUAUCCUGGAAGAAAUAUUGUUUAUGUAUGGUUAACAGGUUUAACUGAAGACUUUUCCUAAAAUAACCUCUUUUGACGGUUGGGACGAUACUAAAGAUGGCUUAUCUGGUAUAAUGUUACUAUUUAGUGUUCUAAACCUUCAAGUGCUCACUUUUCUUGAAAUGAACUCUUUCACAGUUGGGAUGAGUGGAUUGAAAGCAGCCGCUUGUUGAAAUUCAAUGAGGAAAAUGUUGAGAAGCAGAAAACCCUUAAUAAGAAUGGUAGAGCGAAGAACUUGAAGUCUUGGCGUUCUACUCAAAACAAACCCAAGGGAUCCAAUGGUUUGUCUACUUCACGCAUUUUAGUUUUUGCCCUUUGUUAGCCAUAGUUACGGUUAACAUAAUUGCUUCGUUGCUGACCGGUACCGCCAAAAAAAGGACACAGUAACAUUACUUUAUUAUAUGGAUCCAGGCCAGUGAUCAUAUAUAUAUUUGGUCACUGUUUCAGCUUUUAUUUUUCACAUUACUCUCGGCAGAUUUGGUAUACUGUGGGCUUUCUUACGCUUAGAGCUGAUGUUGAUAAAUCCCCAGUUUUAUCCUGAUUUGGUAUCUGUUACUUAUCUCUGAUUUCUUUUCCCGGUAAUUUUAUUGACGUUGUAGUUUUUGAAGGAAAUAUUUUGAUGCAUCAUCAAUAAUCACUGAGUUUUUCUUGAUUACUUGUUGAUAUUGGUGGAAUCUUCAGAGACAAAGCCAGAGAAGGAAGAUCCAAAAAACAAUUGUAAGCUAUUUCUUUUGCUAGUGUAAAUGCCUGUUUUCCACCGAAUAAUUUUCUCAUUACGGGAGAUUGAUGAAAUGUAUGUAAAACUUCAAACAUCAGAGCUUUGAAAGAAUAUUUGUACCUAUCACAUAACUCAUUAUAGCAUCAUUACUUGUAAGUUGUCUAGUUUUUACGAACAGUAAUUGACAAGAAUUGAGCAGGUGCUGAAAUCUCUCUCAAGUACCUCCAAUCUAUCUCCUGUAACAGCAGCUACCACACAAACACAAGGAAAAACAGAAAAACAGGAAAGAGAGGCAGGAAAAGAGGUUACAAAUUGGUUAGUAUUUGUACUAACCUGAAUCAAUCCUGUUCAAGCUGAACCGGUUUAAGCCAAACCCGUUCAGUAUACAAUAAGAUGAAACUGCAGGAAGGAUAACAAGAAAACACUUAUUUCUGAUACUCCCCCUCAAGCUGGUGAAUGUAUAUUAUCCAUUCCCAGCUUGCACACCAAAUGAUGAAAGAUGUUGCUUGGAAGUCCUUUUGUGAAUAUAUCCGCAACUUAAUUAUUUGAAGUCACAUAUGGAGUACAUAUCAAUCCACUUUCUAGUUUCUCUUUUAUGAAGUGACGAUCAAUCUCUAUAUACUUGGUUUUGUCAUGUUGCACAGGAUUGUGGGCAAUAUUGAUGACUGAUUUUAUAAUUUUAUUGAACCAUCUAUUUUGAUCUUCAAAUCAUUUAAAAUAAUAUUGAUCCACAACCUCACAAAUGCCUUGAGCCAUAGCUCGAAACUCAGCCUUUGCACUUGAUCUAGACACAACGCUUUGUUUUUUACUCUAAGUAAUGAGAUUUCCUCUGAGAAAUGUAUAGUAUCCAGAUUUUGAUUGCCGAUCUACAACAGAUCCUGCAUAAUCUGCGUCUAGGUACACUUCUAAUAUUAAAUGACAAUGCUUUUUAAAUAAAAUUCCUCUCCCUUCUGUUCCUUUGAGAUAAUGAAGAAUAUGAUAUGCUGCCUGCAAAUGCAUAUGCUUUGGUUUGUGCAUAAAUUGGCUUACUACAUUGACUACAUAGGCUGUGUCUGGUCGUGUACGUGAUAGGUAAAUUAAUUUGCCAACUAGCUAUUGAUACAUUUCCUUAUCAAUAGCAAUAUCUUCUUCACAUGCACUUAGUUUGAGAUUGGGAUCAAUCGGAGAAUUUACAGGCUUGCAAUUUGUUUUCUCUAUCUCCUGCAAUAAAUUCAUCACAUAUUUUUGCUGAGACAGAAAAAUAGAAUUCUUUGAAUGAGCAACUUCAAUGCCUAUGAAGUAUUUGAGUCUUCCUACGGAUUUAAUCUCAAAUUCUUGAGAUAAACAUUGACUGAGGAGUUUCUUAUCGAUGUCAUCAUUUCCUGUUACUAUGAUAUUGUCAACAUAUGCAAUUAAAAUCGCAACUCUCCCUAAAGGUGAAUGUUUGAAAAACAAGGUAUGAUCUCCUUGCCUCUGUCUAUAUCCAAUCUUGAGCCUAACCUUCAUAAAUCUUUCAAACCAACCUUGUGGGGAUUGUUUCAGCCCAUCAAUGCUUUCUUCAAUUUACAUACAAUGUCAGGGCCUAAAUUAUUUUUGAAACCUGGAGGUACGUCCAUAUAAAUUUCUUCUUCAACUCUCCACAUAAAAAUGCAUUUUUGACAUCAAACUGUUGAAGAUCCCAAUCAAAUAUAGUGGCCAAUGAUGGUAAUAUGCUGAUUGUAUUCAUUUUCACAACCAGUGCAAAAGUUUCACAACAGUCAACUUCAUAAGUUUAUGUGCACCCUUUGGCAACUAAUCGAGCCUUGUACCUCUUUAUUGAUUCAUCUGCAUGAUACUUAAUAAAAUACAUCCAUCUGCAUCUAAUUAUUUUCUUCCCCAUUGGCAGCUGCACAAAUUCCCAAGUGUUAUUCUUCUCUAAAGUCCUCAUCUCUUCAUUCAUAGCUUGCCUCCACUUCUCAUGAGUUAGAGCUUCAAAAAUAGUUUUUGGAAUUGUAGUGGCAUUCAGGUUGGAUAGAAAGGUUUUAUGUGAGGGUGGUAACGUAUUAUAGGACAAAGAAAGUGCAAUGGGACAUAUUGGUUUUGGGUACAUUUUCUAACCUUCUUUCAAAGGGCUAUAGGCAAGUCUUCGUCAAUAGGUAAAGAGUUGGUAUUCGAUGUUGUAUUUGACUCAUCUUGGGAGGACUCUUGAGCAUGAGUAGAAUUUGAAGUAGUUCUCUUUUUUCUGGAAUAUGCUUGGCCAAAUCUACCUUUUUCGUGUUCCUUAUUAUGACUAUCUUCUAGGGCAGGUGGUUCAAUAGGAACAACAACAUCAUCUGGUAAUAUAACUGAAGAGUGAAGUAAGAAAUUUAAUUGAUGAUGAUUUGAUGAAUUGUAUUAUGCUUCUUUUUCAUUGAAGGUUACAUCCCUUGUCAGAUAAGUCUUCCUUGUUGGAGGAUGAUAACAGCAGUAUCUUUUUUGUGUUUGGGAGUUUCCUACAAAAAUACAUUUCAAGGCUCUAGAAUCUAAUUUAUCUAUAUGUUGUUCAUGUAUAUGAACAAAAGCUAUAGAUCUAAAUAUUUUGGGAAUGAGAUUUGUUUUUAAUGUGAUAUGAGGAUAGAAGAAUGACAACAUGUCAACAGGGCUUUUAAUAUUCAAUGAUUUAGAUGGUAAUCAAUUUAUUAGGUAACCAUAAGAACUCCCUCACCCCAGAAAAAUUUAGGCACAUUAUUUUGUAUAAGGAGUGCUCUAGUAGUUCCUAACAAAUGACCAUUUUUACGCUCGGCCACACCAUUUUGUUGGGGUGAAUAAACACAUGAUGAGUCAUGCACUUUUCCUUCUGGAAAAAAGAAGUCAAGGGUUGAUUAAAAUAGUCUUUGCCAUUAUCAUAUCUAAAUCUCAUAAUAGUAGUAUCAAAUUGAUUUUUUUACAAUGGUCAUGUGCCCUGCUGACAUGAUGAUUUUUUAUUAAUAGAGAGCAGAAUUGAAUGAGUGCCCUGCUAACAUCAGAUUUAUGUUUAAGUAAAUAAAUCCAUGUCAUUCUUAUACAAUCGUCAAUGAAGGUGACAAACCACCUAGCUCCACCAGUGCUAGGUGUAGGUCCAGGCCCCUACAUGUCACUAUGAAUAUGAAAAAGAGUUACUAAACAUUUCAAGGUAUUUUCAAAAAAUAGAGUUCUUCGAUGUUUGGCAAACUCACAUACUUCACACUUGAAUUCAGAUAUAUUCGAGUUGUGAAAGAAGGAAGGAAACAAAGUUUUAAGAAUAAAAAAAGAGGGAUGUCCCAAUCUUCGAUGUUGAGAUUUUGUCCAUGUUUGAUAGGUGGGAAUCCUUAGGAAUGCUACUUUGAUCUACUGCUAUGUUAGAUUGGCUUGGAAGUUCCAAAUAAUAGAGUCCGCUGCAUUCUCUUGCAUGUCCAAUCGUCCUCCCAGAUGUCUUGUCAAAUAAAAGACAAGUAUUAGGAUCAAAGGUAACAUUACCUAGAUCUUGUGUAAGCUUGCUAACAGACAUAAGGCUAGAGGUUAACAUAGGGACAUGAAGUACAUUUUUCAGAAUGAUGUCUGGUAAUAAUUGGAUAUUUUCUACUCAAGCAAUUGUGACUGAAGAUCCAACAGCUGUGGGGAUUUUUCUAUUACUAGGACAAGGGGCAUAGGAGUUAAACGAAUGAGAAGCUUAGGUCAUAUGGUCUGUGGCAUCUGAAUCCACUAUCCAAAGUGAAGAUUUACUAUUUAUAGAAGCACUAAAUCCAGUAAAAGUAGGAGACUUACUUGAACAAGCAAGUGCUGAUGAGGCUUACAUCACUGGGGCAUGGGGAGGUUCUUCCACACUCACUAGUUUUUGAUCUGAGGUAAUAUUUUAUUCUUGUUGUGCCAUAGUGAAAUAGACUUGGUCUCUGGUAAGAACCCCAUUCUCACAUAUAAGAGCAGGAAGUGGGGACUUCUUCCAGAAAGGUCUCAAGAUCUGGUGGCUAAUUGAGGCGGGCCACAUCAGCACAGUAUGACCGAAUAAAGACUAUAAAUAAGAGACACAUGGAGGAGGCUAGGGGCAAGAAAGCAGUUGGGGUAGUUUCUGGGAUAGCAACGAGGAGAAGGCUCUCAAACGGUUUCUCCCAUUGACCAUCAUUUUCUCUCUUCUCUUGUACUCAUCUUGAUAUCUUGAAUAGAAAUCCUGCAUUCCUUUCAUUUGGAGGAAUUGAGAUCGGCAGAUCUCCUUUUGAUCCAUCUAUACCACGGUAAGUCCAAGGGACUUACCAGUCUCCUCUCUUUGUUGUCCUUUACAUGAUGUGAAGGCCUCCCAUAUAGUUUAUAACAUCUAUCAAUUGUGUGCCUCGGUUUUCUACUGUAGGUACACAAUGUGUCUCAAAAGUCGUUAUUCUAAAUCUUCUGAUGCAGCCCAGGAAAUCAUAUCAAAUGAAGACAUCAAGAUUUUUGAUCUAGGUAGAGAAAAUUACGGAAAAAUACAUUUAGGAUCUGAAGAAGCUUUAGUUCAAUGUCUAAGUUUCUUCUAGUUAUAGAUUUUGACAUAUUUAAAAUGUGUCAAAAUCACUUUUAGUAUUGUUUUAUAGAAUAACAGAAUUUCCUGAUUUUAAGGAGGUUCUAAGUUAAUACCUCUUCUUUAGAAUUGUUCUAACAAAAUACCUAUUCUUCUCAAUAGUUCUAACAAAAUAUCUAUUUUAACAGAAUCCUUCUUAACUUUAGGGAUGUUAUAACAGUAUUCCUCUUCUUUAGGUAAGUUGUAACAGAUUUUCUAUAAUUUAGGUUAGUUAGUUAUCCUUUCGGCCUAUAUAAAGGCCUCUCAUAUAGCUUAAGAUGCAUUCCCUUUUUUGAUCAAUAGAAUUCAGAGUUGUUUUCCUCUCAUAAUGUUCUCUUCUCUGCUGGCGGCUUUCAACCACCCGUGUGGAUUCAGGGGAACCCCUAGUAAUAUGGACUCAGGACCAAACCCCUGUGGACUCAAGGGACAAGUUUUCCUAGCCUAUGUAGAUUCACGGUAAGGAAAUCUCUCAGAAUUUACGUUUUCUGUGGACUCAGAAAUGUGGUUCUAGAUUUAUUUUAUUUAGGUGGCACGAACAUCAUCAAAUUGAGAAACUCAUCCAGUUUUCAUUGCGCCAUCUUCUCUAGUUUUCGAGAUUGACCUCUGAGUUUUGUAUUAUUGAUGUCAUAAUUUUUUCCACCUUUAGCCACAAAUGCUGAACUAUCCACAUUUCCAAAACCAAUCAUUAAAUUUCGACAACAUUCUUCUCCCCUAAUUAAGGAGAUCACUUCAUUUAGAGGAGGUAACUUCUCUCUUCCUAGGAUUUGAAUUCUGACUUUAUCAUAUUCAGAAUUCAACCCUACAAGAUAUUCAUAUGUUCGAUCCUUUUAUAUCUUCUCUCUAUAUAAUGUUGUGUCCAUAGGAUCCCUCAUGUCUGCAAUAUUGUAUUGUUUUCUUGCCACAAUGAUACUUCAUGAGUAUACUCAGUCAAUGAUUUCCCACCUUGCUUCAUAGUCAUCAUUUUCAACUUCAAUUCAUAAACUUGUGCAUCUUUCGUCCUUAAGUAAGUUUGGUGUAAAUUCUACCAAAUAUUUUUUGCUUUAUUUAGAUACAAGCAAGUCCAUUAGAUCCCAGGACUCAUCAUGGUCUACAGCCACGUCAUGAUCCUCGAGUCCCUGUACUCCCAUCUUUCAAAACCUGGAUCUCUAGAUUGUGGAUCUGUACUAAUCAAAUGAUCAGUCAUCCCUCGUCCUUUAAGAAUGACUCAGACUUGUUGCGACCACCCAAACUAAUUUCUGCCAUCAAGGUGGUCUGUCUAGGGUAUAAUAGGCAAAUCCCCAUAGCUCACACUAAAUUCUGUCCGCAUAACUCGGGACUAUUCUGUUCCAGAGGUGGCUUCAGACAUUCUUAUCUCUCAAAAAUCAAGAAUCCGAAAAAACAAGGCACAGACCUACAGAUCUUGUUCUGUAGGUUAAGAACGCUAGAUUGUCACAUGGAUAGUGUAGAAUCAGCGAAUAAAUGGUGGCUUAUCUUAUAAGCCAUAAAUUUGUGCCCUCAAGGAAUGAAGAAUAAAAACCACAAACAAAUAAAAUCAAGAGACCAAAAAAUCUGGCUAAACAAGUGCUGGAGAGGUAGAAACUGGCUCUGAUACCAUGACAAGAAUUUAGCUGGUGCUGAAAUGUCUCAUAAGUACCUCCAAUCUGUCUCCUGUAGCAGCGGCUGCCACAUACACAGGGAAAAACGGAAUAAAGGAAAAACGGGAAAGAGAGACUGAGGCCUCAAAUUCUGAUUCAAGAAAAGAGGUUGCAAAUUAGUUAGUAUUUAUACUAACCAAAACCAAUCCGUUUCAAGCUGAACCAGUUUAAACCAAACCAGUUCAGUAUACAGGAAGGUGAAACAGCAAGAAAGAUAACAAGAAAACGCUGUUAUUUUUAAUAGUAAUCAUUUCUGAUUAUGGAAAAAUAAUAAUUUAUCAGUAGCAAAAUAUUUGCCAAAAUACUUAUAUUGACUAUGUGACUUUUCUGUAACUUAGGGAAGAAUUAUGACUUUUAGAUGCCAAAAAAAGGGAUGGAUAUCUCAGGAAAACAUUGAGAUAUGUAUAAAUGACAAGUUGAAGAAAGGAAUGGCAAGAAUUUAUGCACUGUUUAAUGAAUACAGCGUAUGUUGAACUUAUAUUGAUUGGGUAACUUUGUGCAGCAUAGGGGAUAGCUAUGACUUUAGAUAUUGUAAUGCCAAAAAAAGGAAUGGAUAUAUCUCAGGAAAAUAUUGAGAUAUGCAGAAAUGACAAGUUGACGGAAGGAAUGACAAGAUUUUCUGCACUAUUUAAUCAAUAUAGCAUAUGUUGAACUAUUUAAUGAAUACAGCCACCUGGAAAACUCAAAGCAAGGAACGUGUAUGUCUGUCCCAAAAGCAGAGUUCCUGAGACAUAGUUGGACGCUUGAUAAAACUGAGUCCUUGUGAAACAAUAAUGAUGCUAGGUUUGCUGCAUUAAUACACCAGCUACAGUCUGACACCCAAAACAACAUCAUCAACACCAACCUUGUUGGCUCUCAGCAGUUUGCCAACGUUAACCACACAGAGAAUUCUUCCACUUUACAUGCCCCCAUUGAAAAGACCUUCUUGUCUGUUUGUCUCCUGACAGAAUUUUUUGUAUACUCUUCAAAUUUGUCUCAUCGGUCUCAAAAUUAAUCAUAACUUCAGUUAUAAUUGUAUAAAACACACUUCCAGAAGUAUCUUUCUUGAAUCAUCUUUUGAUACAAAAUAUUGAAGAAUGAAUGAUAAGCUUAUGUUUAUAACCGUCCCUCUUUCCCCAAUGAAAGAAAAAAGGCACACAAGAGAAAUCAUUCUCUUCUCUCAGAGGCUUCUGCUGGUGGUUGCUGUGGCUGGCCACUGGUUGAACGUCAAGCCCCCAACCCAGGCCUUCCACACCCCACACCGUCCCCCCCCCCACCCACCCCCCACCCCCUUCCCUCCCACAGUCAGAGAAGUUCAAAGUAAAUGUUCAUAGGAAAUCUUGUUUUGUUUUGCGAAUUGUUUGUUUUCCUAUGAUGGUGGAAGGAGGUAGCUUGGCUGUAGAAAUUUUGGCUCUGAAAAUAUUCCUUCAUACACUCUGCUCGUAGUUAGGAGGGCUGGAUUCAGUGGGUCAAGUGGAGGAAGAAACUGCAAGUAGUGUAGUGAGAAUCAUCCGAGACAGUGCAUAUAGUCUCUGUAGGGUUGGAAGAUCAUGAUCCUGUGCAGAAAGGGAAGAUCAUGGGAAAAUUGUAGAAUGGAUAUUUUUUAUAGAUGGUGACAGGUGAAAAAAAGGUCAGUAUUAAAAUGAUGGGAUCUAGGAACAUUAAGGCAGUCGCCCUUUAGCUCAAGGUUAUACCCAUGAAGAGUAUACCUGGUGGUCAGGGGCGGAACUAUAGCGUCUUCUUAGGAAGAAAUGAGCGAAAAGGAUAUUAAAUCGGUGUCUAGGUGGCUUUAAUGUGGUGUAUAGUGAUACCUGAAAGACAAAUUGGUGUUGCUGGUAUCCUCUAAACCAAGGGCAAGUGCAGCUUCAAGCAUAAAGGGUGUGUUGAACAGAGACAGAAACCACAGGAGCAAAUGUGGUCUAAAAAAGAGGGCUGCACCUCUUUUCAAAAAAGGUGUAACUGAAGAAAUUAAUCGGAUGGAAGACAUCACCUAUCUCAAAAUGAAAGUAUUCCUUCGCACAAUCAGUGCAAUGAACUUUGAUGUAACAAUGAGAGUGGCUUCCUAGCAGUAAAAUUGCCAUGAGCAAGAAGAACCUCAGGUUUGUUUUCAAUGAGAUUCACCAAAGCGGACAGAAAAAGUCAUCAAUGAACCAGGCAAUAAUGAAAUCCUGUCACAGAAGGCCCCAGUAUCAUAUUGCACUUAUCUAAAAACUUCUGUGGAUUUGAAUUCGUGAAAAUAAAGGGCCAAGAGUUUUGUGAACUUGCCAUUUAUAGACGGUGUUAAGGAACUGGAAACUAGGAGUUCAGACCAAAGCAGAAAACUACAUGACAACCCAGAAAUGUGACCUCAUAUUACGUAUUGGCAACAGAUAAGGCAAAAGUAUCUUAUGAGAAUGAAGCCUUGAUUGGUGGAGUGUCAUGAUGUUCAAUAUGCUUCAAUUUCCAUUCCAUGACCAGUUCUGAGCCUCCAACCAGUAUGCUGAUCUUUCAUAGAAAGGGAUGAAACAGUGAACGAGUUUGUGCAUUCAAAUUUUCUUGAUUGAUAGUGCAGUUUUUUAGAAAUUGAGAUCAAUGGAGGACAUGAUGGAGUGAGACAGCCUGAUGACUUACUAGGGAGUGAUGGAGUAACAGUAGAUUUGAAUUCAAAGGUUAGAGGGAAAUGAAGGUAACAUCUGACAGGAGGCCAGCAGCUGAUAUGCAUUGAAGAGGCCAUUUGCCUGGAAUCCGGGUUUGGCAUUAUUAGCAGGAUGAGCAAAAGUAGUUGUCUAACCUGCCUAGAUUUACAUCUGCUGAAGUUUGGUUGCAAGCAGACCCUGAAGAGUAACGAUAUAGUGUACGUUGAGUUUUGAGUGGAGGAAAAGCAAUGAUAUUGAAAUUCUCAUUCGUGAUGACUCAUAUUAGCAACGACAGUAAGGAUGUAGGAUUACUCAUGAAAUGGCAAGAGGAUGAACCGCAACUGAUGAGGGAUUCAACAAGUCAACUAGAUGGGGUUAACAGCAAAGCUGUUGUUGGAAAUAAAUUCCAGUGCAAGAGGAACGAUCAAAAGUGUGGUUGGCAGGAGACCUCCAAUACGCUAAGUUUCUAAUGGUCGUUGCUGUGGAGAAGUAACAGGAUCUAAUAACAGUUAACGAUGCGAGAAUGAGGGAGGGAAAGGGAGCAAUUUUCCCUUCAUUAAGGAAAUAGCUCAGUAUAUGAGAUAUCACCAACAAGUUUUCGU